GAUUCAUGGCUCAGGAUGAACGCUAGCUACAGGCUUAACACAUGCAAGUCGAGGGGCAGCAUGGUCUUAGCUUGCUAAGGCCGAUGGCGACCGGCGCACGGGUGAGUAACGCGUAUCCAACCUGCCUUACACUCUUGGACAGCCUUCUGAAAGGGAGAUUAAUACAAGAUGUUAUCAUGAGUAAGCAUUUUCGCAUGAUUAAAGGUUUACCGGUGUAAGAUGGGGAUGCGUU
rnacentral:rRNA from 1 species